CCUACGGGGGGCUGCAGUGGGGAAUUUUGGACAAUGGGCGCAAGCCUGAUCCAGCCAUGCCGCGUGCAGGAUGAAGGCCCUCGGGUUGUAAACUGCUUUUGUACGGAACGAAAAGCCUCUCUCGAAUAAAGAGGGGUGAUGACGGUACCGUAAGAAUAAGCACCGGCUAACUACGUGCCAGCAGCCGCGGUAAUACGUAGGGGGCGAGCGUUACUCGGAAUGUCUGGGCGCGGUCUUGCAACAGAGUGGUGAAAUCCCCGGGCUCAACCUGGGAACGGCCAUUGUGACUGCAAGGCUGGAGUACGGCAGAGGGGGAUGGAAUUCCGCGUGUAGCAGUGAAAUGCGUAGAUAUGCGGAGGAACACCGAUGGCGAAGGCAGUCCCCUGGGCCUGUACUGACGCUCAUGCACGAAAGCGUGGGGAGCAAACAGGAUUAGAUACCCGGGUAGUC
rnacentral:rRNA from 1 species